rnacentral:lncRNA from 1 species
GUCAAAUGUCUAGCACAGCGGCCGGGCCAGGGCCUCACACAAUGUCUGUUUUUCAGAAACGGCAUCCAACACCCAGCAAGCGCCUGCGCAGUGCCUGCCCGGUACCAGCUCGUGUUAGCUACUAUUUUUUAAGGAUAAAAAUAACUUAAAAGCUCUUCAAGGACAACAUGGCAGAGAUUCCUGUAAGUCUUGGGUUAUUUCUGAGUGCUGGUUAUCGUGGCAUCUGAAAAUGUAAAUAAGUGAUGUACCCUGUGGGGUAGCUCUGCUGCAGGCACCCCGGGGACCUGCUGGUGACCCUGCCCUUCUCCUGCUGCGAUCAUCCCAGGCCAGCGUGACACUCAGCAGCGUGGACGUCUCUCUGCAAACGCCCAAAUGCAGUGUAUGAAAUGUCAUCCCUAGAAAUGGCUUCAUUUGGGAUAAAGCUUUGAACUUGCGUGCGUGCCCCGCACCCCGUGGCGGACUGAGUCACUGCUUUGCUGUUGCGGCGUGGUGAGUAAAACUUUCCCAGGGGAGCCGGAGUUGAGUGAGAAAGGGAUGCAGGACACGCAGGAGCUGACACAUCUCUAUGGAUUUAAGUCGCUGUUUCCACAAAUGCUACUCACAUGCCCACACGUGUAGGGCAGGACUGUCACGCGUCCACUCUGCUCAGCUUUCCAGGCCGGAUCUGGUCCCAGCCAUUCUACCUGACCCAGACUCCCCGCACCCCUGCCAUUCCCCCAGCUGCCGUCCUGUGUCUCCUGAUUUCUGCGUUUUUGAUCCUGAGGCUCUCUGCCUCUCUGCCUCCUCCCUGGAGGCCGUGCAAAUCCUGUUCUCCUUCCAGCGGUGAGUUCCUCCUGCUGACCACCUCCCCCGAUGCCCUCCACGCUGCACACUGGGCUGGUCUGCAGAGGUCGAAUGCACUCCCUGGUGACUUACACAUCUCACAAGUGCCCUCCAUCACCUGCUUGUGAACUCCUGACCACAGCAGCCUACUCCAUGUCCCCCUGUGGAUGCUGCAAUGCCCAGCACCACACUGGUGGCUCAAAGACUGCAUGCCUGAGACGGGGUCCAAACCCCUCUUCAACUGUCCUCCAAGCUUCAGGUCCACCGUGACCUCCCCCAACUCUGCUGCAGCUGCCGUGGUGCCAGCCCCCUGCCCCUCUCCUCCACCUCCAUAGAUCAGGCUUCAGUGUCUGGGGACCUGGGGACUGCUGUCCUCCUUCCCAGCAUGAAGUUCUACUGCAAGGGCCACUCUCCCUGUACAGGCCUUCCUGACCCCUCGUCCCUGGAAAGCCCUCUCCAGGGCCCUCGGCCUCGCUGUCUCACAUCACUCGCCUCCCUACCCCACCUCCCUCCUCGCACCUGGGACGCAGGUGCCCUCCGGUCACACCCUUCCAUCCCGUGUGGUGCUGAGCCCCUCACACACACGAGGGGCCCCGGAAUCACCUGCCACGUGAAUAAACAAAGUCAGAUCUGAAAUGCUUAAAAGCAAAUUAAACUUAACUCAUAAAAGGAGAAGAAAAAUGUUCAUUUAGAAAAGUUGUAUCUGUUUUCUUUCCAAAUAAAUUUACUUGUAGG